rnacentral:rRNA from 1 species
UACAGAGGGUGCUAGCGUUGUUCGGAAUCAUUGGGCGUAAAGGGCGUGCAGGCGGUUUGUUAAGUGCAGGGUGAAAGCUCCCGGCUCAACUGGGAGAGGUCCUUGCAUACUGGCAAACUCGAGGGAGGCAGAGGAAAGUGGAAUUCCCGGUGUAGUGGUGAUAUGCGUAGAUAUCGGGAGGAACACCUGUGGCGAAGGCGGCUUUCUGGGCCUUACCUGACGCUGAGACGCGAAAGCGUGGGGAGCGAACCGG